rnacentral:rRNA from 1 species
UACGUAGGGGGCUAGCGUUGUCCGGAUUUAUUGGGCGUAAAGAGCGUGUAGGCGGCCAGGUAGGUCUGCUGUGAAAACUCGAGGCUCAACCUCGAGACGUCGGCGGAAACCAUCUGGCUAGAGUCCGGAAGAGGAGAGUGGAAUUCCUGGUGUAGCGGUGAAAUGCGCAGAUAUCAGGAAGAACACCCGUGGCGAAGGCGGCUCUCUGGGACGGUACCGACGCUGAGACGCGAAAGCGUGGGGAGCAAACAGG